UACGGAGGGUCCGAGCGUUGUCCGGAAUUAUUGGGCGUAAAGGGCUCGUAGGCGGUUUGUCGCGUCGGGAGUGAAAACUCAGGGCUCAACCCUGAGCGUGCUUCCGAUACGGGCAGACUAGAGGUAUGCAGGGGAGAACGGAAUUCCUGGUGUAGCGGUGGAAUGCGCAGAUAUCAGGAGGAACACCGGUGGCGAAGGCGGUUCUCUGGGCAUUACCUGACGCUGAGGAGCGAAAGCAUGGGGAGCGAACAGG
rnacentral:rRNA from 1 species